GGGUUGUGAGGUUAAGCGACUAAGCGUACACGGUGGAUGCCCUGGCAGUCAGAGGCGAUGAAGGACGUGCUAAUCUGCGAUAAGCGCCGGUAAGGUGAUAUGAACCGUUAUAACCGGCGAUUUCCGAAUGGGGAAACCCAGUGUGACUCGUCACACUAUCAUUAACUGAAUCCAUAGGUUAAUGAGGCGAACCGGGGGAACUGAAACAUCUAAGUACCCCGAGGAAAAGAAAUCAACCGAGAUUCCCCCAGUAGCGGCGAGCGAACGGGGAGGAGCCCAGAGCCUGAAUCAGCAUGUGUGUUAGUGGAAGCGUCUGGAAAGGCGCGCGAUACAGGGUGACAGCCCCGUACACAAAAGCGCAUGUGCUGUGAGCUCGAUGAGUAGGGCGGGACACGUGGUAUCCUGUCUGAAUAUGGGGGGACCAUCCUCCAAGGCUAAAUACUCCUGACUGACCGAUAGUGAACCAGUACCGUGAGGGAAAGGCGAAAAGAACCCCGGCGAGGGGAGUGAAAAAGAACCUGAAACCGUGUACGUACAAGCAGUGGGAGCACCCUUUGGGGUGUGACUGCGUACCUUUUGUAUAAUGGGUCAGCGACUUAUAUUCUGUAGCAAGGUUAACCGAAUAGGGGAGCCGGAGGGAAACCGAGUCUUAACCGGGCGUUAAGUUGCAGGGUAUAGACCCGAAACCCGGUGAUCUAGCCAUGGGCAGGUUGAAGGUUGGGUAACACUAACUGGAGGACCGAACCGACUAAUGUUGAAAAAUUAGCGGAUGACCUGUGGCUGGGGGUGAAAGGCCAAUCAAACCGGGAGAUAGCUGGUUCUCCCCGAAAGCUAUUUAGGUAGCGCCUCGUGAACUCAUCUCCGGGGGUAGAGCACUGUUUCGGCUAGGGGGCCAUCCCGGCUUACCAACCCGAUGCAAACUGCGAAUACCGGAGAAUGUUAUCACGGGAGACACACGGCGGGUGCUAACGUCCGUCGUGAAGAGGGAAACAACCCAGACCGCCAGCUAAGGUCCCAAAGUCAUGGUUAAGUGGGAAACGAUGUGGGAAGGCCCAGACAGCCAGGAUGUUGGCUUAGAAGCAGCCAUCAUUUAAAGAAAGCGUAAUAGCUCACUGGUCGAGUCGGCCUGCGCGGAAGAUGUAACGGGGCUAAACCAUGCACCGAAGCUGCGGCAGCGACACUCAGGUGUUGUUGGGUAGGGGAGCGUUCUGUAAGCCUG
rnacentral:rRNA from 1 species